CUCCACACCCCACAGGGUUCAGGGUGACCCCGGCUUUGUCUGGACUGUGGCAGCUCCACCCAUUCCCUAUUGUGACCCAGGCAGUCAGGCUGGGCUGUGAGCUAGCGGGCAUGGAGAGUGAAGCCCCGCCCGGCCCCCCUUCCACACCAGAAGCCUCUCUGUGGCUGAUGGGAGGACCAGGGCUGAUGAAAGGAUGGAGCCAUGAAGGGCAGCCCUCCUGCUGCGGGUCGCCCUGCUGCUGCCCUGGGCCUGCAGCUCCUGGCACGUGGGUCUCUGGGAGUCCUUGUGGAUGUGCCUCUCCAGGGCCCUCCAUCCUCGGUGGGCAGGAGACUCCCCUAGGGAGCUUGCUCUCAAGAGCCGUCCUGCAGGAGAGAUGUUACUUUUACCAUCAAUGUAAAAACUGAGCCUUAAACUGCUUCAGAAACUGUUUAGAUUCCUUCAACUGAAUAUUCACACUGGAUUUUGAAUCAAGGCCUACGUGGCUUUAGAAAUUUAAGAUCCAAACCGUACCACUGUUGUACCUGACAUCCUUCGUGCACCUCCCUCAUCUUCAGAGAAACAAUUCUAAUUCUUCACUUUAAAGCAAGGUCGUGUGACUUUCCAAUGACUUCAGGGCAUUCGGUAAAGAAGAGCUUGGUUCAAAGUAAGUUGAUGAGCACAGCAAUUUCUUCAUAAUGGCAACCUGGUUAAAAAAAAUAAAAUAAACCCAUACCCGGCUUUGGGAAGGAAGUUGUUUGUUUUAAUGUUUUGUAUUUGGACUUGCAGCACAUAGAGUGGUGAUUUUUUUCAACAUUUUGUGUGUCACUUAACAUUUUUAAAAAUGAAGUCUUACAAGCUGUGAAACAAUAUGAACAUCCUGAUCCUAUCUCUGUAAAAUAUGAUG
rnacentral:lncRNA from 1 species